rnacentral:rRNA from 1 species
GGUUAAGCGACUAAGCGUACACGGUGGAUGCCCUGGCAGUCAGAGGCGAUGAAGGACGUGCUAAUCUGCGAAAAGCGUCGGUAAGGUGAUAUGAACCGUUAUAGCCGGCGAUGUCCGAAUGGGGAAACCCAGUGCAAUUCGUUGCACUAUCGUUAACUGAAUACAUAGGUUAACGAGGCGAACCGGGGGAACUGAAACAUCUAAGUACCCCGAGGAAAAGAAAUCAACCGAGAUUCCCCCAGUAGCGGCGAGCGAACGGGGAGCAGCCCAGAGUCUGAAUCAGCUUGUGUGUUAGUGGAACGGUCUGGAAAGUCCGACGGUACAGGGUGAUAGUCCCGUACACCAAAAUGCACAGGCUGUGAACUCGAAGAGUAGGGCGGGACACGUGGUAUCCUGUCUGAAUAUGGGGGGACCAUCCUCCAAGGCUAAAUACUCCUGACUGACCGAUAGUGAACCAGUACCGUGAGGGAAAGGCGAAAAGAACCCCGGCGAGGGGAGUGAAAAAGAACCUGAAACCGUGUACGUACAAGCAGUGGGAGCACCUUCGGGUGUGACUGCGUACCUUUUGUAUAAUGGGUCAGCGACUUAUAUUCUGUAGCAAGGUUAACCGUAUAGGGGAGCCGCAGGGAAACCGAGUCUUAACUGGGCGUUAAGUUGCAGGGUAUAGACCCGAAACCCGGUGAUCUAGCCAUGGGCAGGUUGAAGGUUGGGUAACACUAACUGGAGGACCGAACCGACUAAUGUUGAAAAAUUAGCGGAUGACUUGUGGCUGGGGGUGAAAGGCCAAUCAAACCGGGAGAUAGCUGGUUCUCCCCGAAAGCUAUUUAGGUAGCGCCUCGUGAACUCAUCUUCGGGGGUAGAGCACUGUUUCGGCUAGGGGGUCAUCCCGACUUACCAACCCGAUGCAAACUACGAAUACCGAAGAAUGUUAUCACGGGAGACACACGGCGGGUGCUAACGUCCGUCGUGAAGAGGGAAACAACCCAGACCGCCAGCUAAGGUCCCAAAGUCAUGGUUAAGUGGGAAACGAUGUGGGAAGGCACAGACAGCCAGGAUGUUGGCUUAGAAGCAGCCAUCAUUUAAAGAAAGCGUAAUAGCUCACUGGUCGAGUCGGCCUGCGCGGAAGAUGUAACGGGGCUAAACCAUGCACCGAAGCUGCGGCAGCGACACUAUGUGUUGUUGGGUAGGGGAGCGUUCUGUAAGCCUGCGAAGGUGUGCUGUGAGGCAUGCUGGAGGUAUCAGAAGUGCGAAUGCUGACAUAAGUAACGAUAAAGCGGGUGAAAAGCCCGCUCGCCGGAAGACCAAGGGUUCCUGUCCAACGUUAAUCGGGGCAGGGUGAGUCGACCCCUAAGGCGAGGCCGAAAGGCGUAGUCGAUGGGAAACAGGUUAAUAUUCCUGUACUUGGUGUUACUGCGAAGGGGGGACGGAGAAGGCUAUGUUAGCCGGGCGACGGUUGUCCCGGUUUAAGCAUGUAGGCUGGUUGUCCAGGCAAAUCCGGAUAAUCAAGGCUGAGGUGUGAUGACGAGGCACUACGGUGCUGAAGUAACAAAUGCCCUGCUUCCAGGAAAAGCCUCUAAGCAUCAGGUAACAUUAAAUCGUACCCCAAACCGACACAGGUGGUCAGGUAGAGAAUACCAAGGCGCUUGAGAGAACUCGGGUGAAGGAACUAGGCAAAAUGGUGCCGUAACUUCGGGAGAAGGCACGCUGGUGUGUAGGUGAAGUCCCUGCGGAUGGAGCUGAGACCAGUCGAAGAUACCAGCUGGCUGCAACUGUUUAUUAAAAACACAGCACUGUGCAAACACGAAAGUGGACGUAUACGGUGUGACGCCUGCCCGGUGCCGGAAGGUUAAUUGAUGGGGUUAUCCGUAAGGAGAAGCUCUUGAUCGAAGCCCCGGUAAACGGCGGCCGUAACUAUAACGGUCCUAAGGUAGCGAAAUUCCUUGUCGGGUAAGUUCCGACCUGCACGAAUGGCGUAAUGAUGGCCAGGCUGUCUCCACCCGAGACUCAGUGAAAUUGAACUCGCUGUGAAGAUGCAGUGUACCCGCGGCAAGACGGAAAGACCCCGUGAACCUUUACUAUAGCUUGACACUGAACAUUGAGCCUUGAUGUGUAGGAUAGGUGGGAGGCUUUGAAGCGUGGACGCCAGUCUGCGUGGAGCCAACCUUGAAAUACCACCCUUUAAUGUUUGAUGUUCUAACGUUGGCCCCUUACCGGGGUUGCGGACAGUGUCUGGUGGGUAGUUUGACUGGGGCGGUCUCCUCCUAAAGCGUAACGGAGGAGCACGAAGGUUAGCUAAUCCUGGUCGGACAUCAGGAGGUUAGUGCAAUGGCAUAAGCUAGCUUGACUGCGAGCGUGACGGCGCGAGCAGGUGCGAAAGCAGGUCAUAGUGAUCCGGUGGUUCUGAAUGGAAGGGCCAUCGCUCAACGGAUAAAAGGUACUCCGGGGAUAACAGGCUGAUACCGCCCAAGAGUUCAUAUCGACGGCGGUGUUUGGCACCUCGAUGUCGGCUCAUCACAUCCUGGGGCUGAAGUAGGUCCCAAGGGUAUGGCUGUUCGCCAUUUAAAGUGGUACGCGAGCUGGGUUUAGAACGUCGUGAGACAGUUCGGUCCCUAUCUGCCGUGGGCGCUGGAGAAUUGAGGGGGGCUGCUCCUAGUACGAGAGGACCGGAGUGGACGCAUCACUGGUGUUCGGGUUGUCAUGCCAAUGGCACUGCCCGGUAGCUAAAUGCGGAAGAGAUAAGUGCUGAAAGCAUCUAAGCACGAAACUUGCCCCGAGAUGAGUUCUCCCUGAGACUUUAAGUCUCCUGAAGGAACGUUAAAGACGAUGACGUUGAUAGGCCGGGUGUGUAAGCGCAGCGAUGCGUUGAGCUAACCGGUACUAAUGAACCGUGAGGCUUAACCUU